CCUACGGGAGGCAGCAGUGGGGAAUAUUGCACAAUGGAGGAAACUCUGAUGCAGCGAUGCCGCGUGAGUGAAGAAGUAUUUCUGUAUGUAAAGCUCUAUCAGCAGGGAAGAAGAAAGACGGUACCUGACUAAGAAGCCCCGGCUAACUACGUGCCAGAAGCCGCGGUAAUACGUAGGGGGCAAGCGUUAUCCGGAUUUACUGGGUGUAAAGGGAGCGUAGACGGCUGUGCAAGUCUGAAGUGAAAGCCCAGGGCUCAACCCUGGGACUGCUUUGGAAACUGUGGAGCUAGAGUGCUGGAGAGGUAAGUGGAAUUCCUAGUGUAGCGGUGAAAUGCGUAGAUAUUAGGCGGAACACCAGUGGCGAAGGCGGCUUACUGGACAGUAACUGACGUUGAGGCUCGAAAGCGUGGGGAGCAAACAGGAUUAGAUACCCUAGUAGUC
rnacentral:rRNA from 1 species